CUCUGCCGCUCGGAGCGCGCCGGCAGGGGAGUUCUGGAGCAUGCAGGACGGCUGCAGGCAGCAGAAGCAAUGCUGCAGGAGCCCUCUCUUGCACAUCACCAGCUUCCGUCCAUGACCUUACUGGGAUGACCAUCAGAAUGUCAGUGGGGUCAUCUGCACAUCACCCAGAGGAUGUAAACUUUCAGAGCCUGAGAUGAACAGAAGUGUUUCUUCUGGAGUGCAGGGACAACAUUUCACAGGGGCAAGACGUGCAGAGAGGAGGAUAUAAACCUGUGCACAGAUGUGGGCAUGCCAUGCUUUAAACCAAACAUGUAUCAUGCAGACACCCACGAUGCUUAGGAG